rnacentral:rRNA from 1 species
CAGUCGCCGCGGUAAUACGAUGGGGGCAAGCGUUGUUCGGAAUUACUGGGCGUAAAGCGUGCGUAGGCGGUUUGUUAAGUCUGCUGUGAAAUCCCCGGGCUCAACCUGGGAAUGGCAGUGGAUACUGGCAAGCUAGAGUGUGUCAGAGGAUGGUGGAAUUCUCGGUGUAGCGGUGAAAUGCGUAGAGAUCGGGAGGAACAUCAGUGGCGAAGGCGGCCAUCUGGGACAACACUGACGCUGAGGCACGAAAGCGUGGGGAGCAAACAGGAUUAGAUACCCCAGUAGUCCCUGUCUCUUAUAC